UACGUAGGGGGCGAGCGUUGUCCGGAGUUACUGGGCGUAAAGCGCACGCAGGCGGUCUGCUAAGUUUGGAGUGACAGUUGGUGGCUUAACUGCCAAAGUGCUUCGAAAACUGACAGACUUGAGGGCUUCAGAGGGACACGGAAUUCCGGGUGGAGUGGUGAAAUGCGUAGAGAUCGGGAGGAACACCAGAGGCGAAGGCGGCGCCCUGGACAGGUACUGACACUCAACUACGAAAGCGUGGGGAGCAAACAGG
rnacentral:rRNA from 1 species